GCCUCAUUAACAUCCUCUCUUCCUCGGUGCGGUGCUGGUGGUCGGACAUGUUGCUGCAGGCAGACAAACAAACAUUUACGGAUUUGAAGAGCCUGAGCUGGAGACAUCUCAAUAAGGUAAUUUGGACACUGCAUGAACUGCUGGAUUGCCCCAGUUUGGAUUUUUGAAGUUUAAAAGGACUAAUGUUUAUACUGUUAAUUUGUAGAGUAAUUUGAAACACUUUGCUUUUGAAAAAUGUUAACUGUCUUUAAUGUAUAUACAUAAACUGUAAAUCCUUCAAUAUUGUUACAUGGCUUGUAUGAACUGUUAAAUUUACUGGUAAAUAAAGUGUUGUAUAUUAAAA